rnacentral:rRNA from 1 species
GACGAACGCUGGCGGCGUGCUUAACACAUGCAAGUCGAACGGUGACGGAGAGCUUGCUCUCCUGAUCAGUGGCGAACGGGUGAGUAACACGUGGGCAACCUGCCCCAGACUUCGGGAUAACGCUUCGAAAGAGGUGCUAAUACCGAAUACGAACGCCGUGGGCAUCCACGGUGUUGGAAAGUUUUUCGGUCUGGGAUGGGCCCGCGGCCUAUCAGCUUGUUGGUGAGGUAAUGGCUCACCAAGGCGACGACGGGUAGCCGGCCUGAGAGGGCGACCGGCCACACUGGGACUGAGACACGGCCCAGACUCCUACGGGAGGCAGCAGUGGGGAAUAUUGCGCAAUGGGCGAAAGCCUGACGCAGCAACGCCGCGUGCGGGAAGAAGGCCUUCGGGUUGUAAACCGCUUUCGGACAGAAAGAAAUCGCAUGGACUAAUACUCUGUGUGGAUGACGGUACUGUAAGAAGAAGCACCGGCUAACUACGUG